rnacentral:misc_RNA from 1 species
GAGUUCGAACUUUAUCGACCUCAAAGCCGUAAAGGCUCUCAAGGACGCGCUUAAUUUCGAUUUUGGAAGCAGAUGGAAUGGUUUUAAGAGCAAUUUCAGUGAUGUUGGUGAAGGAGGUAGGCAUAAGAAGCUUGAUUGGAAGAUUUGCGAAGUGAAUAACUCUUCUCCCGAGUCUGCUUCCCAUUUUCUUGGCUUUCUUCGCUUCCGAAGUCCGACUCAAAAGCGUCUAUGAACAGCAGGUCAAGAGAUUCUUUGAAACCCCAAUCACAAAUGCAACUCCACUCUGUGAAUUGGAGAUUCGUACCCGCAAACUUUCAACAAAGUGAAAGGAUUGGUAACGGACGGCGAGGCGCACUGCUG